GUUUUUUUUUUCUUCAAUUAUUGCAAACUCUUCAGAAUUUUCCUUUCAGAUAGCAUAGUAUUACAAAAUAUUGCCAAGAUUUGCAUUUUGAUGAUCUUGGCUGGAAAAACAAUCUCAAUCAGUUCAACUAUUAAGGCCAAGAACACAUUUCUAUGAACUAUGUUCUCUGAAAAAAGCUAAGUGCAAAAGUUACUGUUCUCUGGUUGUAGUACUUAUAACUAGCACUAGUUGUCUACUUAUAACUAGCCUUACAUCAAUAACAAGAUGGAUUAGAUUAAUUAACAAUUAAUCAUUUCAUCAACCUCAGGAUACUAAUAUGACAACUUUAGACCAAACUUUUGCAAACGGUUGCCAUAAAUGUCACAUCAUAUAACUCUCAUUGUUGUCAUCUACUUGAUCAUAGAUCUCCUUCAACAAGUUGAU
rnacentral:misc_RNA from 1 species